GACGAACGCUGGCGGCGUGCUUAACACAUGCAAGUCGAACGGAAAGGCCCUGCUUUUGUGGGGUGCUCGAGUGGCGAACGGGUGAGUAACACGUGAGUAACCUGCCCUUGACUUUGGGAUAACUUCAGGAAACUGGGGCUAAUACCGGAUAGGAGCUCCUGCUGCAUGGUGGGGGUUGGAAAGUUUCGGCGGUUGGGGAUGGACUCGCGGCUUAUCAGCUUGUUGGUGGGGUAGUGGCUUACCAAGGCUUUGACGGGUAGCCGGCCUGAGAGGGUGACCAGCCACAUUGGGACUGAGAUACGGCCCAGACUCCUACGGGAGGCAGCAGUGGGAAAUAUUGCACAAUGGGCGGAAGCCUGAUGCAGCAACGCCGCGUGCGGGAUGACGGCCUUCGGGUUGUAAACCUCUUUCGCCUGUGACGAAGCGUGAGUGACGGUAAUGGGUAAAGAAGCACCGGCUAACUACGUG
rnacentral:rRNA from 1 species